rnacentral:rRNA from 1 species
AACGAACGCUGGCGGCAGGCUUAACACAUGCAAGUCGAACGCCCCGCAAGGGGAGUGGCAGACGGGUGAGUAACACGUGGGAACGUGCCCUAAGGUUUGGAAUAUUCCCGGGAAACUGGGAGCAAUACCAAAUGUGUCCGUAAGGAGAAAGAUUUAUCGCCUUAGGAUCGGCCCGCGUCAGAUUAGGUAGUUGGUGGGGUAAAGGCCUACCAAGCCGACGAUCUGUAGCUGGUCUGAGAGGACGACCAGCCACACUGGGACUGAGACACGGCCCAGACUCCUACGGGAGGCAGCAGUGGGGAAUCUUGGACAAUGGGCGCAAGCCUGAUCCAGCCAUGCCGCAUGGAUGAUGAAGGCCCUAGGGUUGUAAAAUCCUUUCGUUGGGGACGAUAAUGACGGUACCCAAAGAAGAAGCUCCGGCUAACUUCGUGCCAGCAGCCGCAGUAACAC